rnacentral:rRNA from 1 species
AAAGUCCCGCAAGGGAUAAGUAGAGUGGCAAACGGGUGAGUAACACGUGGGUGACCUGCCUUCGAGUGGGGGAUAACGUCCCGAAAGGGACGCUAAUACCGCAUAACAUCCUGCCUUUGAAGAGGUGGAGAUCAAAGCUGGGGAUCGCAAGACCUAGCGCUGGAAGAGGGGCCCGCGCCUGAUUAGCUAGUUGGUGGGGUAAUGGCUCACCAAGGCAACGAUCAGUAUCCGGCCUGAGAGGGCGGACGGACACACUGGGACUGAGACACGGCCCAGACUCCUACGGGAGGCAGCAGUGGGGAAUUGUUCGCAAUGGGCGCAAGCCUGACGACGCAACGCCGCGUGGAGGAUGAAGACCUUCGGGUCGUAAACUCCUUUCGAUCGAGACGAACGGCUCCUGGACGAAUAAUCCGGGAGAGUGACGGUACCGAGAGAAGAAGCCCCGGCUAACUCCGUGCCAGCAGCCGCGGUAAUACGGGGGGGGCAAGCGUUGUUCGGAAUUACUGGGCGUAAAGGGCUCGCAGGUGGCCAACUAAGUCAGACGUGAAAUCCCUCGGCUUAACCGGGGAACUGCGUCUGAUACUGGAUGGCUUGAGAUCGGGAGAGGGAUGCGGAAUUCCAGGUGUAGCGGUGAAAUGCGUAGAUAUCUGGAGGAACACCGGUGGCGAAGGCGGCAUCCUGGACCGACACUGACGCUGAGGAGCGAAAGCCAGGGGAGCAAACGGGAUUAGAUACCCCGGUAGUCCUGGCCCUAAACGAUGAAUGCUUGGUGUGGCGGGUAUCGAUCCCUGCCGUGCCGAAGCUAACGCAUUAAGCAUUCCGCCUGGGGAGUACGGUCGCAAGGCUGAAACUC